rnacentral:rRNA from 1 species
CACGUAGGGCGCAAGCGUUGUCCGGAAUUAUUGGGCGUAAAGAGCUCGUAGGUGGUUUGUUACGUCUGCUGUGAAAACCUAGGGCUUAACCCUGGGCUUGCAGUGGAUACGGGCAGACUAGAGGUAGGUAGGGGAGAAUGGAAUUCCUGGUGUAGCGGUGAAAUGCGCAGAUAUCAGGAGGAACACCGGUGGCGAAGGCGGUUCUCUGGGCCUUACCUGACACUGAGGAGCGAAAGCGUGGGGAGCGAACAGGAUUAGAUACCCUGGUAGUCCACGCCGUAAACGUUGGGCGCUAGGUGUGGGGUCCUUCCACGGAUUCCGUGCCGCAGCUAACGCAUUAAGCGCCCCGCCUGGGGAGUACGGCCGCAAGGCUAAA